rnacentral:lncRNA from 1 species
AAAAUCAUUACAGCCAGCCACCAUUUUUAGACGAUCUUCUUUUUCUUCCACAUUUCUUCUUUGUUGUGCUCUCUAAAUCAGGCCGUCAUGGUUCUUUGGUUUUUCCAUCCCCUGAUAAAGUAUUUCCUUGAUAAGUGAAUUUUCUCACUGCUUUGAUCGCUUCUCUAUUGAAUCGACCCAACUUUUUGAAAUACAUUCCCAUUUUAUUCAUCCCUAUUACUUUGAAACUUCCAAAAACCCUAAAUCUUUCUCAAAGGAGAUAGUCACCCCCCUUUUUUCAACAAAUUUUGCUGGAGAAAUAUAAUUAAUCAAAGCCUUCCCUGUCAAUUUCAACAGCCCUUGCUACCGCACUGGAUAGGCCAGAUCUAAGAUAAGUAUUUUCAUUUCCUUUUAAUCUUUCUUUUACUAAGAUAUAAGCAACUCUAUUCAUUUGUUUCCUUGCACGUUGAAAAAAACAAGUAACAAAGUUACUACAUAAUCAUUUAGCAUCAACAAUGUACGCUCUAAUUUCUGAUCUGUCUUCCUCCCGACUUUUUACUUUUCUAAUGAUAGUUAACGCAUUUUCCUCGACUUUAACUCGUAGGAAUCCAGAUUCUGCCCCAAAUUGAAUCGCUUGUACGCACGCGAGAGCUUCUGCUGCAAAUGUUGUUGGUAUGUGUUCAUUUCUGUAAAUUUUUGUUUUUAAGGCUUAACCUAAAGAGUUUCUUAUAACAAUCCCUAUACACGAUCUAUUGUUCUGUUUUUCAAAUGCAACAUCAAAAUUGAUUUUGACAUUCAUCUCAUUUGGUGGCCUCCAAUUCUCAUUAGCAAUUAUGUUGACAGGUAUCAUUCUAUAUACCCAUUCAAUUUCUUGUAUAUAGUCUAAAAUGAAUUGGGCAACUCUCGCUUCUGUUUGUGCCUUAUUCUUAUGUAUUAGCAAAUUUCUUGCUGACCAUAAGCCCAAUACAGUACAUAUAAUGCUUUUAAUCUGUCUGUUUCAUUUUUUUGAAUAAAUAACUGAUCUAGUCCUUAAAUUGUGCCUGAUUUUGUUCCAGGGGCCAUCCAAUUCCUAGCAUUUCCCAUAUUCCUGCUGCAAAAUAGCAGUCUUGAAAGACAUGCUCCCUGGUUUUUUCAUUAUUUCUGCAUCUUAGGCAAGUCGCAGAAUAUCAUAUCUUGCGUUGAAGCAAAUUAGAGAAAGUAGGAAGGAAAUUAUUUAAGGUCUUCCAUACUAGGAUUAUUAUUUUAGUUUGCAAGUUUUCCUUCCAUAAUUCGUUGUACAUGGGUUUGUAAGAAAUUUGAUUUUGCUGUAUGUUUGUUGAAAUUUUCGAUUGUAUUAAUUUUUUGUACCCACUGCGUACUGUAUAAACUCCCGAAGCCUCUCUUCUCCAUAUGAAUUUAUCCAAUUCUUUCUCAAGUGGGAGGGGAAUACACAAAAUUCUUAGUGUGUUGUCUUGGUGGAAGGUACGUUGAAUAAACUCUUGCUUCCAUCGGUUUGUAUCUUGCUCAAUUAGUUUAAAAACUAACACAAGAUUUUAGGUACUGCCUGGAUUUUGAAUCUUGUAGUCAACUGAGCACGGAACCCAUGCAUCAUUCCAGAUUUGUAUUUGAGUUCCCGAUCCAACUCGCCAGCCCAUCCCUUUCUCAAGAAGUCAUUUUGCCGACCAAAGGCUUCGCCAGGUAUAUAACAGUAAAUUCUCUAACCUUGCAUGCAUAAAGUCUGAAUUUGGGCAAUAUUUGGCUUUUAAAGAUUUGGCUAAUAAUGAAUCCGGAUAAUAAAUCAAACGCCAACUCUGUUUAGCUAGCAUUGCCACAUUAAAUUUUGAAAGGCAUCGAAAUUUUAUUCCUCCAUCCUUUUUUAAUUCACCAAGCUUACUCCAUUCACACCAGUGUAUGCAACGUUUUUCAGAACUUUUUUGCCACUAGAAUUGACUCAUAAUAUUUUCAAAAUCUUUGCAUAAUAAUUUUGGCAGCAGAAAACAUGCCAUUGUGUAGGUUGGAAUAGCCUGUAAAACUGUUUUUAUAAAGACCUCCUUUCCUCCCAUUGACAAGAAUCUAGUGCUCCACCCUCAAACCUUACUAAUCAUCUUGUCCUUUAAAUUUUGGAAAGAUAUUUUCUUAUCCUUUCCAACCAUAUUUGGUAAUCCUAAAUAUUUUUCUGGAUUUUUGAAGCUUUGAACACCCAAUAUGUUAGCUACUUGUUCCCGAAUUUGCUUAGAGACAUUUGUACUAAAAUAUGCCAUUGACUUUUCGAAAUUAAUACAUUGCCCUGAGCAUACCUGAUACUCUCGUAAAACAUCUUUUAGAUUAUUAGUUACUCUAAUUGUUGCGUUCUCAAAAAGAAUGCAAUUAUUUGCAAACAAUAAGUAUGUAAUUGGGGACCUCUUCGGCAAACCUUUGCUCCCUUUAUAGAGCCUUCCCUAGCUGUAAGCCUCAUCAAAGAUGAUAAUCCUUCACUAAAAAUUAAAAAUAGAUAUGGGAUUAAAGGAUCACCUUGACGCAAACCCUCACUGGGCUGAACUUUUCACCCCUCACCCCAUUCAAACAAACAGAAUAUUUAGUUGUUUUUACACAUUUCAUGAUUAAAGACACAAAAGACUUUGCAAAUCCCAUUUUUUGCAUGACUUUUUUCCAAAUAAAGCCACUUCACCUUGUCACAUGCCUUACUCAUAUCCAGUUUUAAGGCUAAGCUCCUAUUAUUACCUAUUCUCUUUUGUUUUAAUGUUUGCAUUAAUUCAUAAGCCGAUAGAAUAUUAUCAGUGAUGAGUCUGCAUGGAACAAAUGCGCUUUGGGCCUUAUCAAUGCAUUUAUCAAGAAUUUGUUGGAGCCUAUUAGCAAUUGUCUUAGCGAUAAUAUUGUACAUAACUGUGCAUAGACUAAUAGGUUGGAAAUUCUUGAGAUUGGUAAGAUUUGCUACUUUCGGUAUAAGCUCAAUAUUUGUUAUAUUAAUACCAUCAAUCGGCUCUCUCUCAUUUAAAAUCUUGAGACAAAAAUCACCAACUUUUUUUCUAGUAAUAUUCCAAAAUCUUUGGAAAAUAAAGCUGAAAAGCCAUCACAUCCAGCUGCUUUUGUUGGUCCCAUACUUUGAAGUGCUGAAAAAACUUCAUCACUAGUAAAAGCUUUACUUAGCAUAUCAUCCAUAGAAUCUGAGAUGUGUGUACCUAUUCCUGAAAAAAUGUAUUCAAGAUUACCAACACCUCCGGAAGAGAAUAGAUUUUCAAAAUAUGGUUUAGUCACCUCCUCCAUUGCUCUUCUAUUAGAAACUAACUGACCAUGUUCAUUCUUCAGUUCUUCAAUUCUGUUUCCUCUUCUUCUAUGGGAAGCAAAAUUGUGAAAAAAAUUUGUAUUCCUGUCUUCUUCUUUCAACCAAUUCAGCCUAGCUUGUUGCUCCCAAUAUUUCUCUUCUUUAUCAAUUUCCAAAUUUAAAUGGAUUUUAGCUUCGAUUAAGUCAGCCAAGUUGUUAGCCGUUCUUUCUAUUCCAUCAAAGUAUUCAAUACGGCCUAAUAGGUUUUCUGUCAAGCCUCUCCUUGACUUCCUGAUUCCCAUAGCCCACCUUUGCAAUCCUUUGCCAACCAAUGUUAAUUUCUCCAUUACUCCUCCAUUAGACAGUGUCCAAAGUUUUUUUACUUCCAUCUCACGCGAAUCUUCCAUAAACCACCAUGCUUCAAAUAUGAAUUUUACCAUUCUCUUAAACAUCUCUUCAAUUUUUGUUUGUAAAAAGAAAAGACAAUGGUCCGAGCAAGAAUGAGGCAAAUGUUGCAUUUUAAAUUUAGGGAUUAAUUCUAACCAAUUUUUGUUUGCAACUCCUCUAUCCAGUCGUUUUUUUAUGUUUGUUGUUGAAAGAUUACCACGUUCCCAUGUAAACUAUUUUCCUGCAUAGCCCACGUCUUCUAGACGACAAUCAUUAAGAACUUGACAAAAUUUUUCCAUUCGGCCUUCAUCCUUUGGUAAGCCCCCUUCCUUUUCAAAAGCAUAUAAAAUCUCAUUGAAGUCGCCACAAACUAACCAAUUUGACUCAUGUUCUCUCCCUAAUCUCCUUAGAAUAUCCCAACCCUCGCUUCUUCCACAAGCCUCCGAUGCAUCAUAGAAGUCGAUCAAUCUCCAAUUUACCCUAAUUUCAUUGUCCUCAAUAUUGACAUCAAUAUGAUGUUUGGAAAGAUUCUUAAAUUGAUUGUUACAUCACUUUUCCAACCAAGACUUAACCCUCAUCUCAUUUCCACUAUCGGAACAUCAAUACUAUAAGUAAAUCCACACCAUUGUCGAACACUUUCCAUUCGGGAAUUAUUUAACUGUCUCCAUAAAGAAGACAAUUUGAGGAUUAUAUGUUUUCAGCAUAUGUUGAAGUCUUUUAACGCCAUGUGGACUCCCUAAUCCAUAGACUUUCCAACUUAAAAUUUUCAUUGUGUCCAGUCGGCUUGCCUAUUGGUAGCCGCCAAUUUCUGAUUUUUAUAAUGGGUUUCUCUUCGUUCCCCUUGACCAUCCACAACUAUAUGACUUCCUGACCUAAGCCUCUUUUUUCUUUCCUCGUUCUCUAAUGGAAUCUCUUACAUAUCCUCUAUCAUAUCUUCCGUCUGUCCAUCACUUUUACCUUUAGCACUAAAACCCAGUUCUUGACUCAAAUUAAUAAUUUUACAAUCAUCUUUCUUACCAAUCCCCCUCCCAAAAUUAUUUCCUAUAUUAUCUUCCCGUAACCAGGCGCUUCGAGUAAUACUCGUCCUCCUAGGUUGAGCCCUAAGUGUAGUAUCCCAUCUAAAUUCCACUUCUCUUAAUCUUAUGUCAAUCCUUUUUUGACAAAAUUUGUCUACAUGUCCCAAACAUCCACAAAGAAAGCAAAACAAAGACAAUUUUUCAUAACGAAAUUUUACUAAAACCAGAUCUGAAUGAGGGAUCAAAAUCUUCUUUUUCCUCGAGUGGAUUUCUAAUAUCAAUCUGAACUCUAAUUCGCAUAUAGUUUCUAAAGCCUUGAUUAAGCUGUUCGGUGUCAUGUUUCAAAAAUUUGCCAAUAAAAUUUCCCAAUAAUUUUGCCACAUUAUCAGUAAAAAAAACCCGGUGGAAGAUUAUGAAUUUGUACCCAAAAAUCAGAAAAAACUAAUGGAACAGAACUCGGAUCCUCACCAUUUUUUAAUUUAUAAAGGAUAAAGAAAUGAUUAUUAAAAGUCCAAGGUGUUCCACUUAUUACCUGUUCCAAAUCAACCUCAUAGAAAAAUCUGAAUAAAUACAUUUUUUCUCCAAGUUCAGAGAUUUGAAUUCCCCCAACGGGUGCCAUAAAUUAGCCAUCUUAUUUUUCAUGGCCAAAAAAUUAACCUCAUUUGCUGUGAGGGCACAUCCAGCUAAGCAUAAAUCAUAUAUUGAUUGUUGAGGUCCUUCCUCUGCUGCAAAUUGAAGCCCUUCGUCUUCGUCGUCUUCUUCAUCCAGACUCAAAUUUGCCAAAUCAAUAUCCACUAAUGCCAUCUUCAAUCCUGUGCACUAUUUUCCAAUGAAAAAAAAAAAAGAGAACUUGAAAUUUAUUGUCGACAGAAAUUGCUAAUCACCUAAUCGAAAUCACAUUCAAAACCCUAGACUUUGCUAGCCAAGACCGUGCCACUCAUCGGACAGACUUAAAAAAACAAACAAACAAAUCUUUAAAGCUAAAAAAUAAAAAGUUUAACUCUUUAAAAAUAAAAAAUGAAUUAAAAUAUAUUUUAACUUUUAUAAUUUUACAGAAAAUGAUACUAAUUAUUUCAACAUAGAUGGUACGGACAGUUUGAAUCGACAUAUUAAAUUUGAUGAGGUAUUUUUUAGGCAGAGUACAAACCAGUCAGUUUUCUAUACUUCAUGCUUCCAACCACUGGGGACCACACAGAUUCCUCCGCAACCAAUACAUCAUUCGCAUUAAUCCAGUCCAAGAUGUUAUUUUACAUGAGAAAAACACUUACCAAUUCCUCUAUAGAUUAUUACCUUCAAAAUCAACACUCCUAGCUCAAUCAUAAACUUGGGAGUUUGAACAUUUUGAUAUCUUAUGCACAAGUCUGAAUUUAUGAGCUCUUUCACAAAUUUAAUAAUUAUUUAAAAUAUUACUCUUAAAUAAAUUUAGAUAAAUAGUUGUUCAAGUUCAUUUGAACUUAGACAGUCAUGUAUCUUUGUUCAUUGUAGAUAUUGUUUUUAAUAAUAUUUAAUAAUUUUUUAUUGUUUUAAAAUAAUUUUUUAUGUCCAAAUUUAUUUUGGGCUUGAGUUUUUAAAUAAUUAUUUUAUUUAGUAAUUUUUAAAAUAUUUGUCGAUGUGGCAAAUAUAGUACACCAUAUGUCAUUGUCGGGUUGUUUUGUCAAUCAUAUAUUACUUAAUCACAAAAAUAGGUAGAAUUUUUAACUGAAUCACCAAUUUUCUCUUUAAUCUAAAAUAUAAUUAUUAAUUUAUAUAUUUUUUAAAAAAUAUAUAUAUAAAAUACAAUCUAACUCUUAAUAUAGAGACUUUUAUUAUACUUAAUUUUCUCUCAUAAUUAUCAAAUUCAUUUAGAUUUAUCUACUCCAAUCCAUAGUUUUACUUGUGCAUCACUCGAAAAAGGAAAGUUUAAAAGGUUAUUUGUAUUUUAAUUCAUUAAAGCGACAAUCCAAAAAGAAAAUAAAUAAAGUAAACCUUCAAGUCUGAUAAUAUUGCACUGAUACAUAGCCGCUGGGACUAAAAUUUAGAGACGGAAACCUAUACCAAAUGAUGUUUUACUGGAAAGUGAUUUUGGUGGGAGAUGUUUAAGGUUUCCGAGUUGAUUCUAUAAUAUAAUAUUUAAUGUAUUAUCGAAUUUUAGACAUCAUAAAUAAAUAAAUAAUAAUAUAAUAUAUCAUCAUUUAAAAAAAAUAAAAAUGAGUGAAAAGUUUAUAAAUAAAUAAUAAUAAUUUAAAUAUAAUUAAAUAUUGUAAAUAAAUAUUAAUAAUUAUCGAGGUUUUAAGGUGUAAAUAUUUUUUAUCAUUAAUUAAUACUUAAUUAUGUUUAAAUAAAAUUGUUAGGAACUCUUAUAUUGUUUUCAUUUAAUGAUGAUAUGUCAUUUUUUCAGUAGAAAUAUAUUAUAUUAUUAUGCAUUGACGGUACAUAAGACUUAAAUAUUAUUCUCAUAGUUAUUUAAGUUGAGUCCAAGAAAUAUGGGUUUAAAUCUUUUCCUAGCUUGUCCAUAUAUGUACUAAUAGUUAACUCAAACUCAUUAGAACAAUCCACAUUAUUAUAUUAAAAAUUUUUAAUAAAACUAUUUAAUAAUUAUAAUGUAUUUUUUUUCUUAUUUGAUUUAUACUAUUACAUAUUUAGUUUUUAUAUAAUUUAAAUUACAUAAAAUUAAAAAACAACUCUAGCGGCCACUGGACCUUAAAUAUUAAUAUCCAAUCCUGAUUUAUCUUAAAACAUAUUGUUUAAGUUAUGUUUUUUAGCUGCAAGCCUUUGAGUUUUGAUAAGUAAACCCUAAUUCUAAGGUAUUAGAGAAAUAAAAACUGAAAAAGUCAAUUAAUUUUGCAACAAAAGAAUUUAUUCAUAGAAUUGAAUUUUCCUCGGUUCUGAACUUCGGAGCUUGAAUUGAAGGUGAAAACCCUAAACAAUUAACUGUUUGACACUGCUUUGUAAUGGAACAUUUUAUUUUUUAUUUUUUUUUGUUCAACGUAACGAAGGUAAACAGAUUGAAGGUGAAAAUCCUAAAAAAUUAAAUUUGAUUAAGUAUUUAUUAGCAUAAGGCUCCAACUUUUUUUAUAUAGGACACUUCCACCUAGUUUUGUACUAGAAUUCCUGUCAGUAAAAGCUUCCUUAGUUUGUAGCUCCAGUAAUGGAAUAAGAGACGUAUGUUUUGUCGGGCAACAGUGAGUUGCACAGGACGUUCGAAGUUUUACCAAUAAAUAUCUUUUAUAAUAUAUAUAUAUUUUGAAUGCGUCCAUGGAAGUUUCUUACACCAUGAUCAGCAUUUCACAUGUAUGUGUUCUCUUCGGUCCACUUGCCAAUUCUGUUGGGUAUGGGUCUCAUUGAGAAACCCAUAAUUUCUGCCACAUUUUAUUGUCUCUUUUUUUGUUUUGUCAAAAGCCAUUUUUUGAGGCUUUUAACAUGGGCAGAAAUUUUUGAGAGCCAAAAAAAUCUCAAAUUAAAACAGAGAGAAAGAGAGAAGAAAAUUUUAAUUUUUCAAGUUUGGUGCAGCAGUGAUCAACUCUUCGAUCGAAGGUUCAUCCAUGGUUCGAUUGAGCUGAUUUUUGGACAGCAGCUAGGCGAUAAGGUGUUCUUAACUUUGUACGGUCGGAUUUUUCAUCCGAGUCUUGUAGCUUCGAAAAUAUCCAUUUUUUCAGCAGCUGCGUUUUGGUGAUAUUCUCUCAUUUUUCUCUCUUUUGCUAAAGAUUACAUAUUGUUAGCCUUAUUGGAGUUGAAUGCUUGUUGUAGGCUUGAUAUUGUGAUCUUGUAGUUGAACAUUUGAUGAUAGUAGAGCUCUUGAUCGGACUCUGAAGUCCCGUGGUUUUUUACCCUUGAUUUAGAGGGGUUUUCCACGAAAAAAUACCGGUGUCUCUAUUUAUUUUUGUUGUGGUUGCAUUAGUUGAUUUAUGGUUGAUUAUGGUUGCUAGAGAACAUAUCUUGUACUAUUGUGCUAGCCAUAAUUUUUGACAGGAGUUAUAGGGAGAGAAAGAACACCGGUUGUGCUUUCGCUUUGUUUCGGUUGUUCAAUUUCUUCCCAACAAACUGGUAUCAGAGCUUGGUUAUUGUGUUAGAUAAUUAUGGAAAUUAAUACGAGCAAGAUGAUUAUGUUGAAUGGCACAAAUUAUCAACUUUGGCGGAAUAAAAUGAAGGACUUGUUGUUUGUGAAGGCUUUGCAUCUUCCGGUCUUUACAACUCAAAAACCCGAUUCGAAAAGUGAUGAAGAAUGGGAAUUUGAGCAUCAACAAGUGUGUGGCUUUAUUCGACAAUUUGUUGAAGAAAAUGUUUACAACCACAUUGAUCAGGAGACACAUGCUCGAACAUUGUGGGAGAAGCUUGAAAGCUUGUAUGCUUCGAGGUCGGGCAAUAACAAGUUGUUUUGCUGAAGAAAAUGAUGGCGUUGAAAUACAAAGAAGGAAUGUUUAUAGCGGACCACGUUAGUGAAUUUCAGAGUGUGAUGAAUCAGUUGCUUGGUAUGGGUGUCAAAUUUGAUGACGAGAUUUUAGGGCUUUGGUUGCUUGCUACUUUACCAGACUCUUGGGAGACCUUUCGGGUCUCGCUCAUUAAUUCUGCCCCACAGGGUAUUAUUACUUUGGAUUUGGCUAAGAGUGGUGUGUUGAAUGAAGAGGUUAGAAGAAGAUCUCAGGGUUCUACAUCACAGUCCGAGGUGUUGGUUAUCGAGAACAGGGGGAGAAACGGAGACAAAGAUGGAAAGGGUAGAGAUAAAAGCCGAAGCAAGUCAAGAUCGAGAUACAAGAAUCUUGAGUGUCAUCAUUGUGGUAAGAAAGGUCAUAUCAAGAAAUAUUGCUUCAAGUGGAAGAAAGAGAACAAAGGUGGUGGUGAUAAACACGAUCAGAAUGACGAUAAAAAAUUCGAGCGUGUUGCUACUGUUACUCGUGAAGAUCUAUUAGUUAUUUGUGAUGAGAAUUUGGUUAACCUAGCAUGCGACGAGACUAGUUGGGUGAUUGAUACUGGUGCAUCACUUCAUGUCACGUCGAGGAAGGAAUUCUUCACAUCUUAUACUCCUGGUGAUUUUGGGGUACUGAAGAUGGGUAAUGACGGUUUGGUUUCGGUUAUUGGUAUGGGAGAUGUUAGCUUGGUGAGUAACAAUGGAACAAAGUUAACUCUCAAGGAUGUCAGACAUGCACCGGAUAUCCAUUUGAAUUUGAUUUCUACAGGAAAGCUUGAUGAUGAGGGAUUUUGUAACACCUUCAAUGAAGGGCAAUGGAAGCUGACUAAAGGCUCCUUGGUUGUGGCUCGAGGAAAGAAGAGCUCAAAUUUGUACUUGAUGCAAGCUUUGACUUCUUGAGAAAUGGUGAAUGUGACAGCGAAUGACAGCUCAAAUGAGUUGUGGCAUAAAUGACUUAGUCACAUAAGUGAGAAGGGGCUUAACUGUUUAGCGAAGAAGAAUCAACUUUCGGGUUUAAAGAAUGCUACACUGAAGAAUUGUGCUCAUUGUCUAGCAAGAAAGCAGAGAAGAGUUUCAUUUAGAAGCCAUCCUCCUCAUAGGAAAUCAAAGUUGCUAGAGUUGGUCCAUUCAGAUGUUUGUGGUCCGAUAAAAGUAAGAUCACAUGGUGGUGCACUUUACUUUGUGACUUUCAUUGAUGAUUGUUCAAGAAAGCUAUGGGUUUACACUUUGAAGUCUAAAAAUCAAGUCUUUGAGGUGUUUAAAGAGUUUCAAGCAUCAGUUGAAAGGGAAACUGGGAAGAAGUUGAAGUGCAUUCGUACUGAUAAUGGUGGCAAGUACACAUGGUCGUUUCAUAAGCAUUGUCUGUGACAAGGAAUCAGACAUCAGAGAACACCACCAAAGACUCUACAGUUAAAUGGGUUAGCUGAAAGAAUGAACCGAACAUUGAUUGAGAGAGUCAGAUGUUUGUUGUCAGAUGCAAAGUUGCCAAGAUCGUUUUAGGCUGAAGCUUUGAAUAUAGUGACACAUGUGAUAAAUCUGUCUCCUAGUGUUCCUUUGAAAGGUGAUGUGUCAGAUAGAGUUUGGUUUGGUAAAGACGUGUCAUAUGAUCACCUACGUGUGUUCGGUUGUAAAUCAUUUGUUCAUGUUCCAAAUGAUGAAAGAUUCAAGUUGGAUGCCAAGGCUCGACAAUGCAUUUUUAUUGGUUAUGGUCUAGAUGGUGAGUUUGGUUAUAGACUCUAUGAUCCAGUUCAGAAGAAACUCGUGAGAAGCAGAGAUGUUGUCUUCAUUGAGGAUCAGACCAUUGAUGACAUUGAUAAGACGGAGAAAGUGGAUUCACAAGGUAGUGGUGACUUGAUCGAUGUGAAUCCGGUUCCCCUAGAUUCUUCACCAGAUCCUAUCCAGGAUAAUGUGCAUGGUGAUGUUAGUGGUGACCAUCAAACUAUAGGUGAUUUUGAUACUCCUAUGAAUGAUGUUGUGAAUGAUCAACAACAAGCACCUAUAGCUCCACCAGUAGUUCUACUUCGAAGGUCUUCCAGAGAUCAACGAUCUUCUGUCAGGUAUUCUCCUGAUGAAUAUGUUCUUUUGACUGACGGGGGAGAACCUGAAUGUUAUGAAGAGGCUAUGGAGAGCGAAUGCAAAGAUCAGUGGGUUGAAGUGAUGAAAGACGAACUUCAAUCCUUGCAUGAGAACCAUACCUUUGAAUUGGUGAAACUGCCUAAUGGCAAAAGAGCUUUGAAGAAUCGAUGGGUUUACAGGUUGAAGCAAGAAGAGAAGUCUUCAUCUCCACGAUACAAAGCUAGAUUGGUCGUCAAGGGUUAUACUCAGAAAAAGGGGGUUGAUUUUGAAGAAAUAUUUUCUCCGGUUGUCAAGAUGUCCUCUAUAGGAACUGUACUGAGUUUGGCAGCUUGUUAUGACUUAGAGGUUGAACAAAUGGAUGUGAAAACCACUUUUCUUCAUGGUGACUUGGAAGAAGAGCUUUACAUGGAGCAGCCAGAGGGUUUUGUUACACAAGGGAAAGAAGACUAUGUGUGCAGAUUGAAGAAGAGCUUGUAUGGUUUGAAGUAAGCUCCAAGGCAAUGGUACAAGAAGUUUGAGUCUGUUAUGGGGGAGCAAGGCUACAAGAAGACUACUUCUGAUCAUUGUGUAUUUGUUAAGAGAUUCUCUGGUGAUGAUUUUAUUAUUCUUUUGCUCUAUGUUGAUGAUAUGCUUAUUGUUGGUCAGAAUGCUUUUAGAAUUGAGAAGUUGAAACAAGAGUUGAGUAAAUCCUUUGCAAUGAAGGAUUUGGGGCCAGCAAAGCAAAUUCUUGGCAUAAGAUUGACACGUGAUAGAAAGGCCAAGAAAUUAUGGUUAUCACAAGAGAGGUACAUUGAGAAAGUACUUCAAAGGUUUAGUAUGGACAAAGCUAAAGCGGUGAAUACUCCAUUUGCUAUGCACUUUAGAUUAAGUGUUAAGCAUAGUCCUUCCACAGAAAAGGAGAAGGAAGAGAUGCAGAAAAUUCCUUACUCUUUAGCCGUGGGUAGUCUGAUGUAUGCAAUGGUUUGCACGAGACCAGACUUGGCUUAUGCUGUUGGUACAGUUAGUCGGUUUCUUUCUAAUCCAGGCAGAGAGCAUUGGAAUGCAGUGAAGUGGAUUAUGAGAUAUCUUUGUGGCACUUCCAACAUGAAACUUUGUUUCGGCAAUGAGAAACCUGUUCUUGUUGGGUAUACAGAUUCAGACAUCGCCGAAGACAUUGACUCGAGGAGAUCUACUUCAGGUUACUUAAUCACUUAUGCAGGAGGAGCUGUGGCAUGACAAUCGAGACUAAAAAAGUGUGUUGCAUUGUCCACCACCGAAUCAGAGUUCAUUGCAGCAACCGAAGCGUGUAAGGAGAUGCUUUGGAUGAAGAAGUUUGUGCAUGAGCUUGGUUUUACUUAGGAGAAGUAUGUCUUGUAUUGUGAUAGCCAGAGUGCUAUUCAUCUUGGUAAGAACUCAACUUUUCAUGCUAGAUCUAAGCAUAUUGAUGUGAGGUACCAUUGGAUACGAGAUGUUCUUGAAGCUAAGCUGUUAGAGCUUGAGAAGAUACACACUAAUGAUAAUUGUGCUAAUAUGUUGACGAAGGCCUUACCAAGAGGAAAGUUUGAAGCAUGUUGUUUGACCUCCGGCAUGGAGGCAUUCCCCACAUAGUUGGAGGGGGAGAUUUGUUGGGUAUAGGUCCCAUUAUGUGGGAAACCCAUAAUUUCUGCCACAUUUUAUUGUCUCUUUUUUGGUUUUGUCAAAAGUCAUUUUUUUGGGGCUUUUAACGGGUGAUGUGGGUAGAAAUUUUUGAGAGCCAAAAAAAUCUCAAAUUAAAACAGAGAGAAAGAGAGAAGAAAAUUACAGUUUUUCAAGUUUGGUGCAGCAGUGAUCAACUCUUCGAUCGAAGGUUCAUCCAUGGUUCGAUUGAGCUGAUUUUUGGACAGCAGAUAGGCGAUAAGGUGUUCUUGACUUUGUAAGGUCGGAUUUUUCAUCCGAGUCUUGUAGCAUCGAAAAUACCCAUUUUUUCAGCAGCUGCGUUUUUGGUGAUAUUCUCUCAUUUUUCUCUCUUUUGCUAAAGAUUACAUAUUGUUAGCCUUGUUGGAGUUGAAUGCUUGUUGUAGGCUUGAUAUUGUGAUCUUGUAGUUGAGCAUUUGAUGAUAGUGGAGCUCUUGAUCGGACUCUAAAGUCCCAUGAUUUUUUACCCUUGAUUUAGAGGGGUUUUCCACGUAAAAAUACCGGUGUCUCUAUUUAUUUUUUUUGUGGUUGCAUUAGUUGAUUUAUGGUUGAUUAAGGUUGCUAGAGAACAUAUCUUGUGCUAUUGUGCUUGCCAUAAUUUUUGACAGGAGUUAUAGGGAGAGAAAGAACACCGGUUGUGCUUUCGCUUUGUUUCGGUUGUUCGGUUUCUUCCCAAAAAAUUCCAGGCUCAAGGCUUAAAUAACAAAAAUAUAUUAUUUAUUUAUUUAUUUAUUGUACUUGAUAGAACAUACAGGGCUUUCAGACAGCGAAAAAAUAGCAAGCUUUCAACAAAAUGCUUUAAAUUUUAUAAUUGUUCUAUGAAUAGUUUCUUCAGUUAUCGACUGAUAAUUACAAGAGACCUUUAUGCCGAUCAUGCAUGUGUCUUGCAUUAACCAAAAAUGCUUUAAAUUUUAUAAUUGUUCCAUGAAUAGUUUCUUCAGUUAUCGACUGAUAAUUACAAGACACCUUUAUGCCAAUCAUGCAUGUGCCUUGCAUUAACCAACUUGAUCUACACUAAUCCUAUUGGCUGUAUCCUUCAAGGUUCUAUUGACAACUCCGGCAGCAGUGAAGAACUGAUGGGCUAAGAUGAAAGAAAAAGAAGUUUGCAGAAAUUAGUUUUUUUGAUUAAUGAAAAAAAAUUAUUAUAAAAUUACAACUAAUAUGUA